UGAGGAAUAUUGGACAAUGGAGGAGACUCUGAUCCAGCCAUGCCGCGUGCAGGAAGAAUGCCCUAUGGAUAGUAAACUGCUUUUAUACGGGAAGAAAAAGAGCUACGUG
rnacentral:rRNA from 1 species